CUCCUCUGUGGACAUCUUUUGGACGGUAUCGGGAACCGAUCGGCGGUUUCCCAGUUCCGUAUCCUGGUUUUCCAGUCACGAUAAACCGGUUUGCUUGCUCCCUGAAGCGUCGCUCUUCGAUCGAUUCAAUCUGGUUCGCAACUGAUGGUGUGUAAUCAAGUAGCUUCAGGUCUUAGGGAUUUACUUCUCCUACUUUUACGCGUUAGGGUUAGGAUGUUGCGGUUGUCCAGCGUCCGGAAGUGACAAAGAACGUUUUAUGGACACGGGUAUGUUACGAUUUAGUCGAAAAUGGUAGAUCUGCGAUCGCGGUGCCAAUGGUUACAGAGCAGAGUGUUGCUUGGUUCAUCCGUUCUAUCGUUUCUGGAGUGUCUCGGAGCUUUGUUCCCUUUCCUAUGGUUUUGUUCUGUGCUAUGAGCUCUACUUCUCCCCUUUUUCUUUAUGGUUCCGUGAGUUGUGUUUCCCAGUUGAUGAAAGAGGUACAUUCAUGUCCGUCAUGCAAUAUUUUCAAGAGAUGUAUGGUUUUACCAUCCAAAACACCUUGCUUGCAAGUUGGAAACCCACAGAGACCAAAUUAUCUACCUACGGAGGUCUGAAAAGAUUGUGGAAGGGCAGAGAUAUUCUAAGAGGUUGAAUGAAAGACAAAUUGCUGCUCUUUUAAAAGUAACUUGCCAACAUUCUCAUGAUCGGGAGCUUGACAUCAUACAGACCGUUGAUCACAAUGCAUACAGUGAAGACCCUUAUGCCAAAGAAUUUGGCAUCAAGAUCAGUGAGAAACUUGCAUUAGCUUAACUACCAUGACACUGGUAGAGAGAAGGAUUUCUUGCCAAGAGUUGGCCAAAGGAAUAUGAUGAAUAAGAAAAUGGUGAAUGGUGGGAGAGUGACCAAUUGGACAUGUAUCAAUUUUGCACAGAAUGUUCAAGAGAGUCUUGCUUGUGGAUUUUUGUCAUGAGCCUGCUCUGAUGUGCCAGAUUUUUUCACCGGAACCUGUUCUUUGUCUGUUAUGUGCUCGCACUGAUCAAGUGGAGAGAGCUUUGAAAGCACACUUUCAUGAUGCAAUAAUAAGCAUACUCUAGCCCCAUGGCAAAGAGCUUGAUUUAUUGCCUGAUAAUAAUGGUCCCCUUUAUGGUGAUGUAAAACGGAUAUGUGAGACAGAUAUUGGUUUAGUUUCACAGUGUUGUUUGGCUAAGCAUGUUUUCCGGAUGAGCAAGCAGUAUCUGGCAGAUGUUGCUCUGAAAAUAAAUGUAAAGGUGGGUAUCUGGAUGCAUGUUAUCUGUUCCCUUUUUUGAUGAAGAGUAUUUUGAUGGAUAGGUUGGAGGUAGAAACACAGUUUUUGUGGAUGCCUUGUCAAGACGCAUACCUCUUGUUAGUGACCUCCCUACCAUAAAUAUUUGGUGCUGAUGUUACACAUCCUCAUCCCGGAGAAGAUUUCAGCCUUCUAUUGCAGUUGUAGUUGCUUCUCGAGAUUGGCCAGAGGUGACAAAGUAUGCGGGACUGGUUUGUGCUCAGCCCCAUCGCCAAGAAUUGAUUCAAGAUCUGUUCAAAGUCUGGCAAGAUCCUUGGAUAACUUGUUAACAGCCGCUUCUUCAUAUAGGAUUAGUUGAUUGUGUUUUUUCCAAAUUGGUGUUAUGCUAAGAGAAAAUGAUCUGAUAACCAUGGAAUUUGCUGGGUGCUUCUUAUUUCCUUUAAAAGAGCUACUGGACAAAAGCCUCAGCGAAUUAUAUUCUACAGGGAUGGAGUGAGUGAGGGACAAUUUUAUCAAGUUUUACUUUAUGAACUUGAUGCAAUCAGAAAAGCAUGUGCCUCCCUAGAAUGGAAUUAUCAGCCACCGGUGACUUUUGCGGUCGUCUAAAAACAUCUAGGCUGUUUGCAAACAAUUAUAAUGAUCACUAUUCGGUUGAUAAGAGCGGAAACAUUUUACCCGGACUGUUGUUGAUUCUAAGAUCUGCUACCCUACCGAGUUUGACUUCUACCUGUGCAGCCAUGCCUGCAUCCAAGGUACAAGCCGACCUGCGCACUACCACGUCCCAGAACAAUUUCACAGCAAAUGCUCUUCGAAUGGUCACAAACAAACUUUGUUACCCCUAUGCACGGUGCACACACUCUGUAUCGAUCUCUUCCCACCCAUCAUUAUCUUUUACCUCGUGACGGGCAAGCAGAGCGGCCCGACAAGGAGCCUGUGCUGGUGGACCACACAGCACGAGGUUUCCCGGUAGUGCUGCCAUCAAGCCUCUCCCGGCGGCGGCGUCGAAGGAGAAGAAUGUCGUGUAUUACUGUUAAGAAAUACAAUCGUAUCAUCUUGUUACAGACUUAUAUGUGCCUUUGAUGCACCAUUAUGUCUUAAUCUCAGGAUCAUUCUGAAAUCUUGUGCAGACAUGAAGUAGCAUUCCUUGGCAUAUUUCUCUUAAUCAAGGAUAAAUGGGCUGAUUCAUGGCCCAAAAACAUUGAUCCAA